AGAGUUUGAUCCUGGCUCAGGAUGAACGCUAGCUACAGGCUUAACACGUGCAAGUCGAGGGGAAACGACAUCGAAAGCUUGCUUUUGAUGGGCGUCGACCGGCGCACGGGUGAGUAACGCGUAUCCAACCUGCCCAUCACUUGGGGAUAACCUUGCGAAAGUAAGACUAAUACCCAAUGAUAUCUCUAGAAGGCAUCUGAAAGAGAUUAAAGACUUAUCGGUGAUGGAUGGGGAUGCGUCUGAUUAGCUUGUUGGCGGAGUAACGGCCACCAAAGCAACGAUCAGUAGGGGUUCUGAGAGGAAGGUCCCCCACAUUGGAACUGAGACACGGUCCAAACUCCUACGGGAGGCA
rnacentral:rRNA from 1 species